GGCCAGACUCCUACGGGAGGCAGCAGUGGGGAAUAUUGCACAAUGGGGGAAACCCUGAUGCAGCGACGCCGCGUGAGUGAAGAAGUAUUUCGGUAUGUAAAGCUCUAUCAGCAGGGAAGAAAAUGACGGUACCUGACUAAGAAGCCCCGGCUAACUACGUGCCAGCAGCCGCGGUAAUACGUAGGGGGCAAGCGUUAUCCGGAUUUACUGGGUGUAAAGGGAGCGUAGACGGCAUGGCAAGUCAGAUGUGAAAGCCCGGGGCUCAACCCCGGGACUGCAUUUGAAACUGUCAGGCUGGAGUGCAGGAGAGGUAAGUGGAAUUCCUAGUGUAGCGGUGAAAUGCGUAGAUAUUAGGAGGAACACCAGUGGCGAGGGCGGCUUACUGGACUGUAACUGACGUUGAGGCUCGAAAGCGUGGGGAGCAAACAGGAUUAGAUACCCUAGUAAC
rnacentral:rRNA from 1 species